rnacentral:rRNA from 1 species
CACGUAGGGUGCGAGCGUUGUCCGGAAUUAUUGGGCGUAAAGAGCUCGUAGGCGGUGUGUCGCGUCGGCUGUGAAAACCUGCAGCUUAACUGUGGGCUUGCGGUCGAUACGGGCAUCACUGGAGUUCGGCAGGGGAGACUGGAAUUCCUGGUGUAGCGGUGAAAUGCGCAGAUAUCAGGAGGAACACCGGUGGCGAAGGCGGGUCUCUGGGCCGAUACUGACGCUGAGGAGCGAAAGCUAGGGGAGCAAACAGG